GGACUCUGUUGUGUCAUUACAACUGGUCUGAAAUGCAUGAGUGCACCCUGCUGUUGCAGCAUCUUCAGUGUGAUAAGCAUCUUCACUGGAUCAAGUUCCUUUGGGACACGCAAGCAUUGUGGGCUCUGUGCUGACAAACUGUCUUUGGACAACCUUGACAAUUUGACCUCAGAUCGGGUGGGACUACCCGCUGAACUUAA
rnacentral:misc_RNA from 1 species